AGGGUGUUUUGUACCAAUCAUGUGGUGACUGGCUCCCCUGUGCCUGCGGCUGAUUAGCUUUGGGAGCGCGUGGAAUAUUGUGCUCAGCUCAUUGCUCUGGAUCGAUCCUAGCCUUGGUGGCUAUGAAGCUGGCUGGUCAUGGAGGCGAUCCUGGCUCGUCAAGCUCGGGCUUUUGCUGCUGGCCCACAAGCCAGCCGAGUAGUGGAUCAUCGUCAUCAUCGGUGAAGGUCCCGUAGAUCGGAUCUGCAUACUUGAGCUCCACUUUCUCCUAAAUGUUCUUUAGCCUCAACCGUAGAUUGUAGUGCACAUAAACAAGGUCGUUGAGGCGCUGUUAUGUCAAACGGUUUCCCUAUUUACUGUGAAUUAGGGCGAAGGUGGACCAGUUGCGCUCACAACCACUAGAAGAGACUGUUUGAAAGAGAAUCCGGAUAG
rnacentral:lncRNA from 1 species